GGCAAAAAUUUCCCUCGUUUCAUAACAUUAUCUACAACAUUCAAUAUAUUUUUCUGCAAUGUAUAUGCCAUUCAAAGCAUUACUUACAAUCUUCGGGUCAUUCAUCUGUAACAAAAUGAGUAUAACCCAGAGAAGAGAAACUUGCCAUGAAAUUGCUGGAUUUACAAGCAAAUUUACUAAACAUUACAGGUUGCAGCUCGACCUAAUUCAACAUGGAAUUUGUGGCCCCAUUAUCUCGAGGAGCUGUGAUUAUCAUGCAUGACUAACAGCAAAGAGUACAGUUCUAACAUGAGCAGAUCUCCAAUUGGGUGCCACUGGAGGAAAAUUACGAUGGGUGUUUAUGGAUUUGAAAACCAGGUUUUAACUUGUCAUUGUCAAUACCAUCUUUCUUUGCAGGUAAAUUAGCAGCUGCCUUUUCUUUCAAAGCUUCCUUCUCCAAUUUCUUCUUUUCAGCCUCAGCCUGCCUUUCAUUCUCCUCUCGUGACUUAUUGAACAUCUUCACAAAAAGGACCAAGGUUUGUGUCACUUGCUCAAAGGGACAACGAGCUGGAUCCUCUCCAAAGUACUGGGACAAUGAAUCUGCAUUUCUUCCCACUUCAGAAUAUAAGGAGAUAAGCGACCGCACUUCAGCUUCGGCAGUAUCAAGAAAGUUCUUCAACACCCUUUGAAAGCCUGCAGAGAUAGCACCAUCAUUUGCUGAAGCAGCAAGCUCUUGCUCAACCUUUUCAAGACCUUUACUCACAGCUUGCAUUUCUUCAGCCAAGUUUUUCAAUUGAAUCUUUGAGGCUGCUUCUAUAUGUACAAGGUCCUUAUCAAAAUCUAGCAACUCUGGCAUCUUCUCAGAAAGGAGCUUGCAUAAGUAGUGCAUUAAAGUCAUUUUGUUAUUUCUUGCACGAGUGUCAGAUAACUUAAGAAGGCUGUCCAAUUUGAAUCCAACAGCAGAUCCUCUUGCAGUGCCCUGAUUCAAAGCAUUUCCUAACGUCAGAAUUGUUUGCAUUAUCUGACGCAAUUUCACAGAUUCUUUUACCUCUCUAGCAGCACCAUUAAUAGUUUUUAGGUGACAUCUUAAAUCUUCCACCUGACUAGAAAAUGUGAUUCUGAAGGCAAAUACUCGAAGCUUAGCUUCUACUCGCGGAACCUUCAUCAGCUCCAGGAAAAACUGUUCACACUUCCCCAGCAUUUCCUUGUCACCAGUAUAAUUCUUCAGCGUCUCCAUUUCUUCCUUGGUGGGACAGAAUUUGAUGAGAUUCUCAACCUGAUCAAUAUCUAAAGAUGAAGAAUCCAAAGCCAGAACAGCAUUAAUCAUGUCCGGCAAAGGUAUUUUUAUCUUUGUGAGCAUUAUUUCACAAUUAUAUGCCCUACGCAAGUCAACUAAUUGCACUUUCUCAGGUUUGUUAAUGUUAGAACCACGUCGUACUCCAGCUUUAUUACUACCACUUCCAUCUGAAACAGAAGCAGCUGAGAACAAGCUUUCAAGUUCUGAUAUAUCAAUUUCAGGGGCCCUUGACUGAUUUUCCUGCUUCUGUGAAUCUGCCCACAAACUCCCUUGCAUUGCUCGAGUAACUUUCACCCAAUGUAAAGGUUUUAGUGAAGUUUUCCUAGGCGCAUUACCUGUCCCACCAGUACUCCGACCUCUUCCAUGGCCACUAGGCCCUGAAGAAGCUUUUCCCCUUCCAAUAGAUGGAGGUGGCGGUGGUGGCACACUAGAGGCCUUGGCUCCAGGAGGGGGUGGUGGUGGUGGACCUGGUGCUGUGUUGCGACCUGGUGGUGGAGGGGGAGCAGGAGGAUUGGGUGCUGAUGAUGGAGGUGGUGGGACUGAACUAGGCCGCAUAGGUCCUGAAGGAGGGGGAGGAGGAGGAGGGGGGCAAGGUGUCUUCAUGGUAUUACUAGGGUUUCGACCCAAAGGAGGUGGAGGAGGUGGAGGCGGCGGUGCCGCUGCCAAAGAUAAGUUUGAACGUGAAGACAGUGUCUGAGAUGGCAGCAGUGGUGGGAGUGCCGCUGCCAAAGAGAAGUUUGAGCGUGAAGACAGUGUCUGAGAUGGCGGCAGUGGUGGCGGUGGUGGUGGAGGUGGAGGCCGUAGACUAUUAGUUGAACUGAUCAAGGAUGGUGGCUGUGGUGGUGGUGGCGGUGGCGGUGGUGGCCGUGAUGGUGGCGACAAUGAUGGGUUUGAUAUUGAAGGAAGAGGAGGAGGUGGAGGAACUGGAGGGGGACUGGGUCCUUUAGAAGAACUGAAAGGUGGUGGUGGUGGUGGUGGUGGUGGUGGAGGCAAUGGUGGACCUUUGCUGGUAGAAGGAGGUGGUGUGUAGGAAUCUUUAAUGGAAAAGUUAGGAGGAGGUGGUGGAGGUGGAGGUGGAGGUGGAGGUGGAGGACCUCCACCAAUUGCAGGUGCUGAAGAAACAGAUUUAUUGAAGGUUGGAGGUGGAGGUGGACAAGGAGGUGGCUGAGGAUUUCUAUUAGUAGUGAGAGCUGGAAAUGUGGUAGAAUCUCUGUUCGAAACACUGGGAAGAGGUGGCAAAGGAGGUGACUGAGGUCUAUUAAUGUUACUUGAGAGACCAAGACAUGGUAGUGGGGGAGGUGGGGGAGGAGACGGGGGCAGUUGUGCAACAGAUGGGGAAAGGAGAGUUGGAGGUGAUGAAGGAGGAGGAGUUGCUUCAUUUGGAAAUGAUAGCUGCUGAGGAAGGGAGGAUGGAAUAGUUUCAAUGGAAAUUUGCGCUGGAGGUUCUGAAACAUUAUUUGAAUCAUGAAGACCAUCACCGUCAAUAGGUGAGAGAACUGAAUCGGCAGAAGUUUUGGGAAUAAGAUCAAAUGCUUCGUCUGAACUAUCAGCAGCACUAGAAGCAUUAUAUUCUUCUUCAGAGUCAAUAGGUGAUGCAUAUGAACUGCCUCUAUUUUGCAAUCUUGAAAAUUCUCUGGCAUCACUUAAGACAGAAAGUUGUUUAAGUAACCACAAGGCAGC
rnacentral:misc_RNA from 1 species